UUUGACAUAUAUAAUGAGGCUGAAGUCAGCAGUUGAUAUUUUUUGGUCUAGUAUUUAAGUGUGAUCGUACUCUUUCUCUUUUCAUGUUGAAUUUGGCUUUUACUUUUAUGGUGUUUUCAUUUGUCUUUUAGGUUUGACGAUACUUCACCUUUCUCAUUCCUCAGACUCCAACCCACUUUGAUUCUGAAAGAUUUGACUGUUAUUUCCGGUCAGUCAGCUUGCCGAAGCAGUCAGAUUUCCGUCAUACUACUCUGAAUAAAAAUGGCAUCAGGAGAUGAGCUUCCAUCACAUCUCACUGUCGAUACCUCCAACGUUCAAAUUCUUAACUCUGAGACCUCAAAAAGACUCGUCGAAAAUUUUGUAAUCGCUCUCAUGAACAAGGAGCGUUUCUACAUCCGCACAUUCUUUUCGACAUACAAAGCAUAUACCACUGCUGAAAGUGUGUUGUACAUCCUCCU